CCUCCCACGGAGGUCCAAGUCCCAGAGAAUGUUCGAGAACAUUCCAUUCUGGAAGGGCCACAUGUUUUACCAAAGAGCUUAUGGACUGGCGCUUCUCACACGUCACUAUGCACACCCAUCACACACCGAAUCCUUGGAAGAUGAACAUUCUGAUUCAGUGGCUCUGGGAGGGGCCUGGAGGUCUGCACGUCUAACAAGCUCCCCUGUCGAUGCUACUGUAGAAAGUGCUCAGUAGAAAGUGCUGGAAGGAGGACUAUCCUUUCUUUUGCUAAUAUGGAUGGCCUCUUCCAGGAAAACGCUGGCUCAGAACUCUACAGAAAGCCCCUUUCCACCAGGACAGAAGGAGGGAGCAAAGCUCAGAGAGGGGCAGUCCGAAGCUUGGGGUCACCGUCGGGGAGCACUGGAGCCAGGCUCAGGUCCCAGGCAAUUUGAUGGCAGGGACCACCCGAAGGGGCACCGGUCAAGUAUACAGACGGUGAAGUUGGAGGCCCGAGUCGGGAUGGCACUUUCUUCCACUCGAGUCGGAGUUAUCUCUGGCCACAGACACAAUUGGUACACACCUGCCAUUGUCCUUUGUCAUUUGGUAGAGGCAGAGGGUACGUGCAACCGGGAGUUACAGGACGCAGAGAACAUUUCUCGAAGGAUACAAAUAAUGAGGCCCCAUGCUGGAGUUCCUGAUGGAAAGUCCCAACAAAUCAGGGAAGGCGUCUGGCAUCCAAUUUCUAUCCAAGCCUUUGAUCCCUGCUGCUGAACCUUCCACAACUCAGGCCUGAGACAGGGGACCCUCCAGGUGGCCUGGAGACCACCAGCCCUCUCCUCAGACAGGUGAGUGGCCGAAGCACCCUUUCCCCUCCGGGAAGCCUCUGCUGCACUCACUUUUCCAUAUUGCCCUCUGCCUGGACCCGGCUUCCUCCUCCCUGUAUUCCGGUGAAAAUAAAUUCAAUCGGAAACCGCGAA